UACGUAGGGUGCAAGCGUUAUCCGGAAUUAUUGGGCGUAAAGGGCUCGUAGGCGGUUCGUCGCGUCCGGUGUGAAAGUCCAUCGCUUAACGGUGGAUCCGCGCCGGGUACGGGCGGGCUUGAGUGCGGUAGGGGAGACUGGAAUUCCCGGUGUAACGGUGGAAUGUGUAGAUAUCGGGAAGAACACCAAUGGCGAAGGCAGGUCUCUGGGCCGUCACUGACGCUGAGGAGCGAAAGCGUGGGGAGCGAACAGGAUUAGAUACCCGGGUAGUCC
rnacentral:rRNA from 1 species